GACAGAGGGUGCAAACGUUGUUCGGAAUUACUGGGCGUAAAGCGCACGUAGGCGGCUUUGUAAGUUAGAGGUGAAAGCCCAGGGCUUAACCCUGGAAUUGCCUUUAAGACUGCAUCGCUAGAAUCGUGGAGAGGUGAGUGGAAUUCCGAGUGGUAGAGGUGAAAUUCGUAGAUAUUCGCAAGAACACCAGUGGCGAAGGCGGACUCACUGGCCCGGUACUGACGCUGAGGUGCGAAAGCGUGGGGAGCAAACAGG
rnacentral:rRNA from 1 species